UUGACACAGAACUAAAGUUCUUCAAAUAAACUACAGUGGCUGGUUUUAGACUUUUCACUGGAAGACUGCAGAGUUCUUCAAGCCUUGAAAGAAAGUCUUCGCACUUGUGAAUUUGCAGGAAAAACAUUUCUAGAGGAAAAAAUGUUACUUGCUAGCUGUAUCCAGUUAACAAAUUACUUUCCUUUGUCCAAUCUUGUGGUGUUCCUGUUUAUGUAUGUAUAUAGUGAAAGGAGAAAGUCACUGACUGGUCCAAUUACUGUGUGCAUGCUGGCUAAUUUAGUACGGAAUGUUUAAAUACGUAUGUUGGGCAACCAAUUAAAGCAAAGAUUAACUUCAUCAGGC